UCUAUGGAACACCAUACCGAUUGGGUAAAUGACAUUGUACUCUGUUGUAAUGGGAAAACAUUAAUAUCUGCUUCUUCUGACACGACAGUAAAAGUAUGGAAUGCACAUAAGGGAUUUUGCAUGUCAACAUUAAGAACACAUAAGGAUUAUGUAAAGGCCUUAGCAUAUGCCAAGGAUAAAGAACUGGUAGCAUCAGCUGGUGUUGGACAGACAAAUAUUCUUUGGGAUGUGAAUACUCUAACAGCAUUGACUGCCUCAAACAACACUGUCACAAGUUUGCAUCGAGACAGUGGUUCAUAUUUUGAGAGUGCUUCUACCUACAGCGUUCUAGUCCC